UGGGGAAUAUUGCACAAUGGAGGAAACUCUGAUGCAGCAACGCCGCGUGAAGGAUGAAGGUUUUCGGAUUGUAAACUUCUUUUGCAGAGGACGAAACAAAUGACGGUACUCUGAGAAUAAGCCACGGCUAACUACGUGCCAGCAGCCGCGGUAAUACGUAGGUGGCAAGCGUUAUCCGGAUUUACUGGGUGUAAAGCGCACGCAGGCGGCGUGACGCGUCAGAAGUGAAAUCCCCGGGCUCAACCUGGGAACUGCUUUUGAAACGGUCAUGCUUGAAUCAUGGAGAGGGUAGCGGAAUUCCGAGUGUAGAGGUGAAAUUCGUAGAUAUUCGGAAGAACACCGGUGGCGAAGGCGGCUACCUGGCCAUGUAUUGACGCUCAGGUGCGAAAGCGUGGGGAGCAAACA
rnacentral:rRNA from 1 species